GAGGAAAAGAAACUAACAAGGAUUCCCCUAGUAACUGCGAGUGAAGCGGGAAAAGCUCAAAUUUAAAAUCUGGCGGUCUUUGGCCGUCCGAGUUGUAGUCUGGAGAAGUGCUUUCCGCGCUGGACCGUGUAUAAGUCUCUUGGAACAGAGCGUCAUAGAGGGUGAGAAUCCCGUCUUUGACACGGACUACCAGUGCUUUGUGAUGCGCUCUCAAAGAGUCGAGUUGUUUGGGAAUGCAGCUCAAAAUGGGUGGUGAAUUCCAUCUAAAGCUAAAUAUUGGCGAGAGACCGAUAGCGAACAAGUACCGUGAGGGAAAGAUGAAAAGCACUUUGGAAAGAGAGUUAAACAGUACGUGAAAUUGCUGAAAGGGAAACGCUUGAAGUCAGUCGCGUUGUCUGGGACUCAGCCUUGCUUUUGCUUGGUGCACUUUCCGGAUGACGGGCCAGCAUCGAUUUUGACCGUCGGAAAAGGGCUAGGGUAAUGUGGCACCUCCGGGUGUGUUAUAGACUUUAGUCGCAUACGGCGGUCGGGAUCGAGGAACGCAGCGCGCCGUAAGGCAGGGGUUCGCCCACUUUCGCGCUUAGGAUGCUGGCGUAAUGGCUUUAAACGACCCGUCUUGAAACACGGACCAAGGAGUCUAACAUACCUGCGAGUGUUUGGGUGGAAAACCCGAGCGCGUAAUGAAAGUGAAAGUUGAGACCUCUGUCGUGGAGGGCAUCGACGCCCGGACCUGACGUUCUCUGACGGAUCCGCGGUAGAGCAUGUAUGUUGGGACCCGAAAGAUGGUGAACUAUGCCUGAAUAGGGUGAAGCCAGAGGAAACUCUGGUGGAGGCUCGUAGCGAUUCUGACGUGCAAAUCGAUCGUCAAAUUUGGGUAUAGGGGCGAAAGACUAAUCGAACCAUCUAGUAG
rnacentral:rRNA from 1 species